rnacentral:lncRNA from 1 species
CGCGCCUCUUCAAGAUCCACAAGCCUCCCCUUCUCUAGCAAAACCAAAACCCUAGAAGUCGCGUGGGAGGAGAGAGAAAGCUAUAAGAUCUUUCUCUAUUUACUCACUUCGCUUCUCCCUCGUUCCUCUCCGAUCCAUACUGAAAUUUAGGUAAACUCACAAGGAUUAGAUCUUUGAAUUUUUACACGCACAGAAGUUGUAUUGAACUAACUGUUUAUGGGUUUUUGUUAGGGUUUUGGUUUACGUUGUGAGAGAGAUCAAUCACUAAUGGCGGCGGAGCAAUCUGUAUUUGCUCAAAUUGUAUCUAAAUGGAUUUGGUUCCAUUUAAUUGGUAGUUGAAUUUUCUAAUGAAAAAUAAGUGGG